GUAGGUGGCAAGCGUUGUCCGGGAAUUAUUGGGCGUAAAGCGCGCGCAGGCGGUUCUUUAAGUCUGAUGUGAAAGCCCACGGGCUCAACCGUGGAGGGUCAUUGGAGACUGGAGAACUUGAGUACAGAAGAGGAAAGCGGAAUUCCACGUGUAGCGGUGAAAUGCGUAGAGAUGUGGAGGAACACCAGUGGCGAAGGCGGCUUUCUGGUCUGUAACUGACGCUGAGGCGCGAAAGCGUGGGGAGCAAACAGGAUUAGAUACCCUGGUAGUCCACGCCGUAAACGAUGAGUGCUAAGUGUUAGGGGGUUUCCGCCCCUUAGUGCUGCAGCUAACGCAUUAAGCACUCCGCCUGGGGAGUACGGCCGCAAAGGCUG
rnacentral:rRNA from 1 species